UGCCACUCUUAACGGGGUGGCUUUUCAGAAGUGUAAAAAGCUUCUGGAAUAAGGGCUGGGCAAGACCGGUGCCAGCCGCCGCGGUAACACCGGCGGCUCAAGUGGUAGCCGCUUUUAUUGGGCCUAAAGCGUCCGUAGCCGGUCUGAUAAGUCUCUGGUGAAAUCCCACAGCUUAACUGUGGGAAUUGCUGGAGAUACUAUCAUGACUCGAGGUCGGGAGAGGCUGGAGGUACUCCCAGGGUAGGGGUGAAAUCCUGUAAUCCUGGGAGGACCACCUGUGGCGAAGGCGUCCAGCUGGAACGAACCUGACGGUGAGGGACGAAAGCCAGGGGCGCGAACCGGAUUAGAUACCCGGGUAGUCCUGGCCGUAAACGAUGUGGACUUGGUGUUGAGAUGGCUUCGAGCUGCCCCAGUGCCGAAGGGAAGCUGUUAAGUCCACCGCCUGGGAAGUACGGCCGCA
rnacentral:rRNA from 1 species